rnacentral:rRNA from 1 species
AGUGAACGCUGGCGGUAGGCCUAACACAUGCCAGUCGAACGGCAGCACAGUAAGAGCUUGCUCUUACGGGUGGCGAGUGGCGGACGGGUGAGGAAUACAUCGGAAUCUACUUUUUCGUGGGGGAUAACGUAGGGAAACUUACGCUAAUACCGCAUACGACCUACGGGUGAAAACAGGGGAUCGUCGGACCUUGCGCGAUUGAAUGAGCCGAUGUCGGAUUAGCUAGUUGGCGGGGUAAAGGCCCACCAAGGCGACGAUCCGUAGCUGGUCUGAGAGGAUGAUCAGCCACACUGGAACUGAGACACGGUCCAGACUCCUACGGGAGGCAGCAGUGGGGAAUAUUGGACAAUGGGCGCAAGCCUGAUCCAGCCAUACCGCGUGGGUGAAGAAGGCCUUCGGGUUGUAAAGCCCUUUUGUUGGGAAAGAAAAGCAGCAGGUUAAUACCCCGCUGUUCUGACGGUACCCAAAGAAUAAGCACCGGCUAACUUCGUG